UUCUACGGCUAUGUCACCCUGAACAAGCCCGAUCCCAUCUGAUCUCAGAAGAUAAGUAUGGUCGGGCCUGGUUAGUACUUGGAUGGGAGACCACCUAGGAAGACCAGAUGCUGUAGGCA
rnacentral:rRNA from 1 species